GACGAACGCUGGCGGCGUGCCUAAUACAUGCAAGUCGAACGCAUUUUCUUUCACCGUAGCUUGCUACACCGAAAGAAAAUGAGUGGCGAACGGGUGAGUAACACGUGGGUAACCUGCCCAUCAGCGGGGGAUAACACUUGGAAACAGGUGCUAAUACCGCAUAAUUCCAUUUACCGCAUGGUAGAUGGAUGAAAGGCGCUUUUGCGUCACUGAUGGAUGGACCCGCGGUGCAUUAGCUAGUUGGUGGGGUAACGGCCUACCAAGGCUGCGAUGCAUAGCCGACCUGAGAGGGUGAUCGGCCACACUGGGACUGAGACACGGCCCAGACUCCUACGGGAGGCAGCAGUAGGGAAUCUUCGGCAAUGGACGCAAGUCUGACCGAGCAACGCCGCGUGAGUGAAGAAGGUUUUCGGAUCGUAAAACUCUGUUGCUAGAGAAGAACAAGGAUGAGAGUGGAAAGUUCAUCCCUUGACGGUAUCUAACCAGAAAGCCACGGCUAACUACGUG
rnacentral:rRNA from 1 species